AUAGAGACUCAGAGCUGCAUAUCAAUAAGCGGAGGAAAAGAAACUAACAAGGAUUCCCUUAGUAACGGCGAGUGAAGCGGGAAGAGCUCAAAUUUGAAAUCUUCAAGGUUCUACCUUGACGAAUUGUAGUUUAUAGAAGUGUUUUCUGUUAGUGGAGUGGCAAAAGUUCUUUGGAAUAGGACAUCAUAGAGGGUGAGAAUCCCGUAUUUGGUCAUUCCUCCUAGCGUUGUGAUACACUUUCAACGAGUCGGAUUGUUUGGGAAUGCAGUCCAAAAUGGGUGGUAAAUUUCAUCUAAAGCUAAAUAUUGGCGAGAGACCGAUAGCGAACAAGUACCGUGAGGGAAAGAUGAAAAGAACUUUGAAAAGAGAGUUAAACAGUACGUGAAAUUGUCAAAAGGGAAGCGUUUGACACCAGUGUUGUUUUUCCGAAAAUCAAUUACGAAUGUUUUGUUUUUGAGGAGUUAUGACUUCAUCGGCUUGCUCCUUUCUUUACGAAACUUUCUUAAUGCACUUUUCGGUUAACAAGUCAACAUCAAUUUCUUUUGUUGUAAAAGGGUAUGAGGAAGGUGGCUUUCUUUUCGGAGAAAGUGUUUAUAGCCUUGUGCCUCUACAAUCGGAGAGAUUGAGGUCUGCAGCGUAGAUCCUUCGGGGUUAGAUACGUUUGUGCUAAGUUAUAGCUUUUCAUAGACAACUUGUUGACUAUGUUUAGUCUUGUAGCUUACUCGCUGACGCUAUUUUACCUACGCUUAGGAUGUUGAUAGUCACAGCGUGUAC
rnacentral:rRNA from 1 species